GUUCCUAAUUUAGGCACUCUGAAGAAGCCAAAAGGGAUUGGGAUGAAUAGAUGCCUUAGCUUUUAUCAGAUCUAGUCCUCCACUAGAUUGUAUCACCCAAUUCUGUAUCACUGCAGAAUUUUCUCUAUUUUCCUGCCUUGUACGUGAACAAACACUUCAAGCAGUAUUGUUGAGACCUGUGAUUCUGCAGAGAAAAAGAAUAAUAAAGCUGACUUUACAGAAAGAAGCAAGGCACAAAAAGAGACAUAGAUGACUUGCUGCGCCAAAUCAGCUUUCCUCCAGCUGAGGUACGGUGAAAGUGCAGUGCCCUGACAGACCUUUCGGCACAUGGAAAAACAUUGUAAAUGUGUAUGCUCCUUUGGACCAGGAGAAAUGAAAAUUAGCAGAAAGAGGGUUUCCAGUAUUGCAAUGAAGACUGUGACCUCUGGGUUUCCUAGAAUAAACGUGCCCACUUUCACUUUGAAGGUUUGCCAGAUGCUAGGAGUGAGUUAAAGCACCUAGAAGCACAGGUUCUGGGUACAUCUGAGCUGCCAGCUGGGGCUGCCUCUAUUGCCCACAUGCACUUGCUGAUCAUUCAUGGGUUAGGACAGCUUGGUUUCCACCCAGCUCAAACAUGGAACUGAUUCCCUGAUAAAAGCUUCUCAGGGCCUGCUCCAAUAAGGGUUGAGGGUGAAUCAAGACAACUCUCACUGACUCUAUCCUGCCCAGCCUUUGAACACCAUCCUACCAGGGGGUGAGCUGUCAUAACACACAACUCCUUAGGCAAACACACCCUUGGCAUCACGCACAAAUACACCAGCAUUAGAGAUGCUUGUGAGUAAAUGACUGCAAGGGAUAGCUGCUGUACCAGCAAUAUCCAAAUGCUACAUGCUACAGAUAGGGCUGGGCUGCUCAACGGGGAGUGUGGCAAGCUGUAGGACACAAUUCACUUGUUAAAGGAUGGAAAAUACAUGUACAUCCCUGCAGCAGAUGGUGGCACCAGCACAGACACAGUCAUGGUAUCCCCACUGGAUCCUUACAGACAGGUUGUGCACAAGCCAGUCCUGGAGAACUGGUAUCAGCUAGCCAUGUACUGAACAUCUUUACACAUUUCUUUUUUUCUGUUUUUGUUUUGUUUUGUUCAUUUAAUCACUGAGCUGGCUUGUGCUGAAUGGCUGAAUGCUGUAGAUCAGGUUUGCUUAACCACCAGCAUUGCUCCAGGGCUUCACACUGUGCACAGAUUCCUGCACUGCACAGUCUUCAUGUUUGGUGACUCCUCCCUAAUUCAUUGUCCACUUUCACCCCAAUGCCUGUUUCUAUUUUCUGUGCUUUUUGUGGUUUUGUCCAAAUGCUUUAUUACCUGUAUUUUCCAGGUUCCCAAAAUAGCUUUGUUAUUUUUUUUCUGUUCUGCUAAAUUUAUCUUGGUAUUUUUCAUGUCAGCUCUGAUGUUUGCAAUACUGUAUCUCAUAAGAAUACAAACAGAUCU